UUCGAAAGAAAGAUUAAUACCCGAUGGUAUAAUCAGACCGCAUGGUCUUGUUAUUAAAGAAUUUCGGUUAUCGAUGGGGAUGCGUUCCAUUAGGCAGUUGGUGAGGUAACGGCUCACCAAACCUUCGAUGGAUAGGGGUUCUGAGAGGAAGGUCCCCCACAUUGGAACUGAGACACGGUCCAAACUCCUACGGGAGGCAGCAGUGAGGAAUAUUGGUCAAUGGGCGCAGGCCUGAACCAGCCAAGUAGCGUGAAGGAUGACUGCCCUAUGGGUUGUAAACUUCUUUUAUAUGGGAAUAAAGUUUUCCACGUGUGGAAUUUUGUAUGUACCAUAUGAAUAAGGAUCGGCUAACUCCGUGCCAGCAGCCGCGGUAAUACGGAGGAUCCGAGCGUUAUCCGGAUUUAUUGGGUUUAAAGGGAGCGUAGGUGGACAGUUAAGUCAGUUGUGAAAGUUUGCGGCUCAACCGUAAAAUUGCAGUUGAUACUGGCUGUCUUGAGUACAGUAGAGGUGGGCGGAAUUCGUGGUGUAGCGGUGAAAUGCUUAGAUAUCACGAAGAACUCCGAUUGCGAAGGCAGCUCACUGGACUGCAACUGACACUGAUGCUCGAAAGUGUGGGUAUCAAACAGGAUUAGAUACCCUGGUAGUCCACACAGUAAACGAUGAAUACUCGCUGUUUGCGAUAUACAGUAAGCGGCCAAGCGAAAGCAUUAAGUAUUCCACCUGGGGAGUACGCCGGCAACGGUGAAACUCAAAGGAAUUGACGGGGGCCCGCACAAGCGGAGGAACAUGUGGUUUAAUUCGAUGAUACGCGAGGAACCUUACCCGGGCUUAAAUUGCAUUUGAAUAUACUGGAAACAGUAUAGCCGUAAGACAAAUGUGAAGGUGCUGCAUGGUUGUCGUCAGCUCGUGCCGUGAGGUGUCGGCUUAAGUGCCAUAACGAGCGCAACCCUUAUCUUUAGUUACUAACAGGUCAUGCUGAGGACUCUAGAGAGACUGCCGUCGUAAGAUGUGAGGAAGGUGGGGAUGACGUCAAAUCAGCACGGCCCUUACGUCCGGGGCUACACACGUGUUACAAUGGGGGGUACA
rnacentral:rRNA from 1 species